AUGCACGCUGGCGGCGUGCUUAACACAUGCAAGUCGAACGAAGCACUUUAUUUGAUUUCCUUCGGGACUGAUUAUUUUGUGACUGAGUGGCGGACGGGUGAGUAACGCGUGGGUAACCUGCCUUGUACAGGGGGAUAACAGUUGGAAACGGCUGCUAAUACCGCCUAAGCGCACAGCAUCGCAUGAUGCAGUGUGAAAAACUCCGGUGGUAUAAGAUGGACCCGCGUUGGAUUAGCUAGUUGGUGAGGUAACGGCCCACCAAGGCGACGAUCCAUAGCCGACCUGAGAGGGUGACCGGCCACAUUGGGACUGAGACACGGCCCAAACUCCUACGGGAGGCAGCAGUGGGGAAUAUUGCACAAUGGGCGAAAGCCUGAUGCAGCGACGCCGCGUGAGCGAAGAAGUAUUUCGGUAUGUAAAGCUCUAUCAGCAGGGAAGAUAAUGACGGUACCUGACUAAGAAGCACCGGCUAAAUACGUG
rnacentral:rRNA from 1 species